rnacentral:rRNA from 1 species
UACGGAGGAUCCGAGCGUUAUCCGGAUUUAUUGGGUUUAAAGGGUGCGCAGGCGGGAUGUUAAGUCGGCGGUGAAAUUUUGCAGCUCAACUGUAAAAGUGCCUUCGAUACUGGCUUUCUUGAGUGUGGAUGAAGUAGGCGGAAUCUGUGGUGUAGCGGUGAAAUGCUUGGAUAUCACGAGGAACUCCGAUUGCGCAGGCAGCUUACUAAACCACUACUGACGCUCAUGCACGAAGGCGUGGGGAUCAAACAGGAUUAGA